AGAGUUUGAUCCUGGCUCAGGAUGAACGCUAGCUACAGGCUUAACACAUGCAAGUCGAGGGGCAGCAUGAAAGUUUGCUUGCAAACUUUUGAUGGCGACCGGCGCACGGGUGAGUAACACGUAUCCAACCUGCCUCAUACUCGGGGAUAGCCUUUCGAAAGAAAGAUUAAUACCCGAUGUCAUAGUCCUACCGCAUGAUGGGAUUAUUAAAGAAUUUCGGUAUGGGAUGGGGAUGCGUUCCAUUAGUUAGUUGGCGGGGUAACGGCCCACCAAGACAACGAUGGAUAGGGGUUCUGAGAGGAAGGUCCCCCACAUUGGAACUGAGACACGGUCCAAACUCCUACGGGAGGCAGCAGUGAGGAAUAUUGGUCAAUGGACGAGAGUCUGAACCAGCCAAGUAGCGUGAAGGAUGACUGCCCUAUGGGUUGUAAACUUCUUUUAUAUGGGAAUAAAAUGUUCCACGUGUGGGAUUUUGUAUGUACCAUAUGAAUAAGGAUCGGCUAACUCCGUGCCAGCAGCCGCGGUAAUACGGAGGAUCCGAGCGUUAUCCGGAUUUAUUGGGUUUAAAGGGAGCGUAGGUGGAUUGUUAAGUCAGUUGUGAAAGUUUGCGGCUCAACCGUAAAAUUGCAGUUGAAACUGGCAGUCUUGAGUACAGUAGAGGUGGGCGGAAUUCGUGGUGUAGCGGUGAAAUGCUUAGAUAUCACGAAGAACUCCGAUUGCGAAGGCAGCUCACUGGACUGCAACUGACACUGAGGCUCGAAAGUGUGGGUAUCAAACAGGAUUAGAUACCCUGGUAGUCCACACAGUAAACGAUGAAUACUCGCUGUUUGCGAUAUACAGUAAGCGGCCAAGCGAAAGCAUUAAGUAUUCCACCUGGGGAGUACGCCGGCAACGGUGAAACUCAAAGGAAUUGACGGGGGCCCGCACAAGCGGAGGAACAUGUGGUUUAAUUCGAUGAUACGCGAGGAACCUUACCCGGGCUUAAAUUGCACCUGAAUAAUGUGGAAACAUGUUAGCCGUAAGGCAGGUGUGAAGGUGCUGCAUGGUUGUCGUCAGCUCGUGCCGUGAGGUGUCGGCUUAAGUGCCAUAACGAGCGCAACCCUUAUCUUCAGUUACUAACAGGUCAUGCUGAGGACUCUGGAGAGACUGCGUCGUAAGAUGUGAGGAAGGUGGGGAUGACGUCAAAUCAGCACGGCCCUUACGUCCGGGGCUACACACGUGUUACAAUGGGAGGUACAGAAGGCCGCUACCUGGCGACAGGAUGCCAAUCCCCAAAACCUCUCUCAGUUCGGAUCGAAGUCUGCAACCCGACUUCGUGAAGCUGGAUUCGCUAGUAAUCGCGCAUCAGCCAUGGCGCGGUGAAUACGUUCCCGGGCCUUGUACACACCGCCCGUCAAGCCAUGAAAGCCGGGGGUACCUGAAGUACGUAACCGCAAGGAUCGUCCUAGGGUAAAACUGGUAAUUGGGGCUAAGUCGUAACAAGGUAGCCGUACCGGAAGGUGCGGCUG
rnacentral:rRNA from 1 species